CAGACUCUGAAGAGGAACAUGAACCAUUUGUGUUGAAAUAUGUGAACUAUGCUAAUCAUUUUCAUACCUGCCAAUGCACCGAAUCAGUUUUUUUCUUUCUAUGGUAAUGUAGGUGAACAAGUUUUGUACUAAUUUCCAUUAAGUUUAUGUAGGCCAUUGGGUGAGGCUUGCUGCUAUAAAUAAGCACAGUUCCCUACAUUCACCCAUCUCAUUGAGCAAAAAAGACCUCUUGCUUAGUCUCGUUUGGUUGUCAAAGCAUCUAUUAACCGACACCCAUUCUCUGCAAAUAUGGUCAAGAAAUCAAUUCUUACCGUUGUGACACUCUUGCUGUUUGGU